UUUGUAGGUGGCUUGCUAAGUCACACGUGAAAUCCCUCGGCUUAACCGGGGAACUGCGUGUGAAACUGGCGAGCUUGAGGACAGGAGAGGAACGCGGAAUUCCAGGUGUAGCGGUGAAAUGCGUAGAUAUCUGGAGGAACACCGGUGGCGAAGGCGGCGUUCUGGACUGUUUCUGACACUGAUAAACGAAAGCCAGGGGAAGCAAACG
rnacentral:rRNA from 1 species